AGGGGUAUAGCUCAGUUGGAUAGAGCAGCGGUCUUCUAAAUCGAAGGUUAUGGGUUCAAAUCCCAUUUCCCCUG
rnacentral:tRNA from 1 species